rnacentral:lncRNA from 1 species
GUGGUUCCGUCUUGGUUGCUGUGCAAGCUUCCAAGGGACAUUGCGCUUCGGGAUAUUUGGAUGCCAACCAAGCUCCCCCCUUGGGAAAAAGAGGGGAUACGAGAGCGGGUCAUAGCAGCCAUCUGUGGCAUGUAUACUAUGCUUCUCAUUGUUGUCCCCAUAGAGUGUAAUGCUGCGAUUAAACCUGUUUGCUAGAUCGUUUCCC